rnacentral:rRNA from 1 species
GAUCCUGGCUCAGGACGAACGCUGGCGGCGUGCUUAACACAUGCAAAUCGAACGGAAAGGCCCUGCUUGCAGGGUACUCGAGUGGCGAACGGGUGAGUAACACGUGGGUGAUCUGCCCUGCACUUCGGGAUAAGCCUGGGAAACUGGGUCUAAUACCGGAUAGGAACCAUCUUUAGUGUGGUGGUUGGAAAGUUUUUUCGGUGUAGGAUGAGCUCGCGGCCUAUCGGCUUGUUGGUGGGGUAAUGGCCUACCAAGGCGGCGACGGGUAGCCGGCCUGAGAGGGUGGACGGCCACAUUGGGACUGAGAUACGGCCCAGACUCCUACGGGAGGCAGCAGUGGGGAAUAUUGCACAAUGGGCGCAAGCCUGAUGCAGCGACGCCGCGUGGGGGAUGACGGCCUUCGGGUUGUAAACUCCUUUCGCUAGGGACGAAGCUUUUUGUGACGGUACCUAGAUAAGAAGCACCGGCUAACUACGUGCCAGCAGCCGCGGUAAUACGUAGGGUGCGAGCGUU